AUUGAACGCUGGCGGCAGGCCUAACACAUGCAAGUCGAGCGAGCGGCGGACGGGUGAGUAAUGUCUGGGAGACUGCCUGAUGGAGGGGGAUAACUACUGGAAACGGUAGCUAAUACCGCAUACCAUCAGAUGUGCCCAGAUGGGAUUAGCUAGUAGGUGGGGUAACGGCUCACCUAGGCGACGAUCCCUAGCUGGUCUGAGAGGGUGACCAGCCACACUGGAAAUGAGACACGGUCCAGACUCCGACGGGAGACAGCAGUGGGGAAUAUUGCACAAUGGGCGCAGGCCUGAUUCAGCCAUGCCGCGAGUGUGAAGAAGGCCUUCGGGUUGUAAAGCACUUUCAGCGGGGAGGCGUUACCCGCAGAAGAAGCACCGGCUAACUCCGUGCCAGCCGCCGCGGUAAUAC
rnacentral:rRNA from 1 species